AUGUGUGUGGCGAAAAGGGAUACGCGGUAGGUUUAGAACCUGUUAACUAUUUUUAGUUUUGUGGGUUCAAUUCCCACCACACAUA
rfam:Candidatus Nasuia deltocephalinicola str. NAS-ALF, complete genome.